AACUUGAUUACUUUUCGUCUAAACGAAAACAAUUAGAAUUAAUUUCUUUAAUUAUUUAGAGUAGAUUUUCAUUUUAUUCUCAAAAGUAGCAAAUUUACCAAGUGUAAGGUCCAAGGAUAAUCUAUGUUUAAUUGUUCACCAGAUAAACAAAAGAAAAGUGUAAAAUAUAAAUGUGACUCUUUGGAUCCAAUGUGACAAUCAAUAGAUUGUAUAAUCAUAAGAUAGUACAAAGAAACAAGGAUAUUGAUAUUAAUUUGGGUUAAUCUUUUUCUCCUUCUUAUCCUAUCUCUGUGUCUCCUUUUUAUUGUCACAAUGUGUUUAUGUUUUUAUUCAACUUGGUGUUUACUUAAUUGUCGAUUAUUUAGAAUAAGAUUACUGUUCAAUUAACUGAUUAAGAAGAUGAAAUAAAACAAAAACUAAGAAAUUCAUUUAUGUAUCAAUCUAUUUAUUGGAUCAUCUGUUGGCCGAUUUCACAUUUCAAUGGAUCAAAUUUUUGAUUAUGUUCCCAGAAUUGAUUACUCAGUGUAAUCAACUUCUAACCAGAUUCCUAGAUGUUUAACCAUACACACCAUUCAUAUACUAAUAGGAUUUACAUACCAACCAACAUCAACUACCAGUGACAAUAUAAUUAUCAUGAUGGGCUGAUGAUGAUGAUGAUGAUGAUGAUGACAUUAUCAUCUUGUUAACAGUGUUGAUCGUUUAUCAAUUCAAACAGUCUGUUCAUCAUUUAUUACUUUAUAUCAGAUUAUUUUGUCCUCAUCUUUUAUUUACAAAUUGUAUGUAAUUAGUUUUAAUAACUGUUUAUUCAUCAUCCUCCUCAUCAUCAACCAUUUUCAAUUAAUCUUAAAAUCUUUUCAUCUUUCAACUUUUCUGUGAUGACGAUAAUGAUGAUGAAUGAGAAUCCAAUCAAUUAAUUUUCACUCAUAUUGAUCUCUAUAUUCAAAUUGAUGAAUAUCAUUCAAUAUAUUCAGCUAAUCAUAAGGUUUUUUACUAAAAUGGUUAAUCUACCGAUUAGAUUGUCUGGUAAUCCACCUAAGGAUUAACUUUUCUAAUCAUUUGGAUAACUUUCAAGCCAAUUUAUCAUCCUGAUCAUCAAUAAACAGCAAUUGAAAUGGAAACAAAUUCCAUCAUCGGCUUUCUUAUAUAUCAUAGCAAUCAUAUUUGAUCAUUAAUUACAAUUACAAGUCACCUUUAAUCAUGAUAAUACAUAAUUAUAGUUAUCAUAUAUUUAUAUAUAUCUUGGCCUCUCCCAUUUUAUCAUAAACGGAAACAGAAACAGUAUAUAUAUUGUCCCAAGAAACAUAUAUAUAUGAGCAAAAGUCACUACACUAAACUAAUUUCUUAUCAAUUCAUUUAGUUUAUCAUCAUCAUAUCAUUACAUAUUAUAAAUGAUAUUAACCAGGAUGAGAAUAUAUAUAUUUAUAUCUCUAUUUAUUAUAUAUGUUACUCCCCCACCAUGUUACUUUCUCUCUCACUCUCCCUUGGGAUAAACACACAGAUCUCAAUAUACUCACUCUUGUUGGUGUUUUUUUAAGGCACUAUGAUCAAAGGGAGGAACUCAAAGAGACUCCUUAUUUCCUGAAUAUGUGUCACAUUAAUAUAUUUACCUAAUGAUCCGAUCACUAAUUACUAAAUUGUUCAUUAAGCUACAAGAUGCUCAACAAGAAACUUGAUUUGUCGUGUUGAUUUCGUUACAAAUGUGACCAUCAAAUUUUCAAUCAAAAAACUCACCAAAGUCAAAGAUGAUAUCGAAAGUGUGAACAUCCUCAUCAUAACCUAAUCUAAAUUUUCCCUUUCUCGUCAUCAUUAUCAUCUUUCUUUAGGUCAUCAUCAUGAAGAGAGCUUAUCCGUAGACAGUAUUACAACUUUUCCACUGUCAUGGAGUUGCUCUCUUUCUGGUUUGACCUUUUAACCAGCAUGCUGACCACUGACCCACCCUUUAGAUCAAAGUGAAAUUUCAACAAUCAAAUCUACAGAUCCAAAUAGUAUUUAUAUUAUAAUCGUUGGUGACCAGUGGUUGAGAGGAAGACAUUGAGUUGGUGAUGGUCAGUUCGAUGGUCAAUCUUAUGGUGAAUACUUUUUGUAAAUGGUGAUGACCCCAUAGAAGGGCAGGAAA